UCCGCUCAGAAGUGGCGUCUUGUGGGCCAACUCAUUCUUCACCCGCUACUUGCUCUUCUUGUUCAUUGAUGAGUGGCAGGACUUUAUCAACGAGCGGUUUUGGUUUUCUCCCUGUGAAGAGGUAAACGGCCCAUCAGUCAUGAACUCCACCUUGGUCAGCUCUUUAGCCAAAAUGUAUGACCUCAAGCCUCUUCAUGGCCAGAAGUCUGCUGGGAGAAGAGCCUCGCUCAACGGAUUAGAGCAGUCCCAAGCGUCUUCCUCUUGUUCCCAUGCUUCCCUACGCUGCAUCGAGAGCCGCAUGGACGCCUUGAACUCUCAGAUGGAGCGCUUGCUGAGCAUGCAGCAUGCUGUCCUGACCCGACUGGACGUUUUGUCCCAGGACGUGAGAGGGAUGAAUCCAAUUCGUGCGCCAAAGAGCGAGGGGGACCUCUGCGAUGCCCACCCGGGAUUCAUCCGAGGCUCCGAGGUGGGGGUGGUCUUUGGGCGGCUGUGGGCAGUGGUGGAGAGGCUCUGUGAGCAAAUGGAGGGUCACGGACGCAGGUUGGAGGCGCUGCAAAAAGUGGUGGAGGGCACCCACCAAGUGAUCCGCUACAUUGGCGAGCUGGCGAGGCGCUCUCGGCUGCUGGGCUUGCUCUUUUGGAAAGUGGCCGGCCAAGCCAAACGCAAGGGAAAGGACGACAAGGAGAAAGGCAAAGUCAACCUCAAAGGUCAGAAGAAGAGGAGGUCCCUGGAAACUUCAGAGUCAUCGGCUGCGCCAGUGCUGCCUGAGCAGGUGGCAAAACUCAACCAAAAGAACUUUGACCAUUAUCACGGCACCAAUGAGGCAGAGGACGGCACAAGUGGAAGACUCGUUGAGUCGAUUGCCAGUGAAUGUGAUAAGGAGAGCGAGGAUGUCUUUGAAGACUCGAGUUCUGAGGAAGACGCGGAAGCAGAGAUUGCAUCGUCGGGUCUUGGUCCAGAAGCGAGCGCCGAUGAGCGAGAUGAAGGCAAUCGCAGAAUAUUGCAAGGGGACCUCUCUUGCGACACCGGCAAGACUUCCACCGUGAAGCAAGACGGCUCCGACGAUGUCGGUGAUGCGGCCGCCUGCAGCAAACGUCGCGUCACUGAAGAAGAAGUGGCCAAAGACGACCCGAAGAAGAGUCGGGUGGAAGCCGGGAAAGAUGAAAAGGCCGACGGAGUUGCAGCCGAGAUGGACAAGUCACAACGCGGCCACUUGGAUGUGGAGAGCAACAGCAAGCAGCUGUCAGAUGCGAGAGAGGAAUACUUCAUAGACUCGAGCCCACCGCCGGCGGCACCUUUUGAUCAUCGCAUUGUGACUCCCAAACCUCACCAAAUCGCCGCCUACUACUCCAUCAACAGAGACGAGGUCCUGGGAGGGGGGCGCUUUGGCCAGGUCCACAAGUGUGUGGAGACCUCGUCUGGCCUCACAUUGGCUGCCAAGAUCAUCAAGGCCAGGAGCCAAAAGGAAAAGGAUGUGGUGAGGAACGAGAUCCAGGUGAUGAACCAGCUCAACCACUGCAACCUCAUCCAGCUCUACGCGGCCUUCGAGUCUCGUCAUGACAUCAUCCUGGUCAUGGAGUACGUCGAGGGCGGAGAGCUAUUUGAUCGCAUCAUCGACGAGGACUGUAACCUGAGCGAGUUUGACACGGUGCUCUUCAUACGGCAAAUUUGCGAGGGGCUGCAGUACAUGCACAGAAUGUACAUCCUCCAUCUUGACCUCAAGCCAGAGAACAUUCUUUGUGUCAGCAGAGCGACAAACAAGAUCAAAAUCAUCGAUUUUGGCCUAGCCCGGAGAUAUAAACCUCGGGAGAAGCUGAAGGUCAACUUUGGAACGCCUGAAUUUUUGGCACCUGAAGUCAUCAACUACGAGUUUGUUUCCUUCCCCACCGACAUGUGGAGCCUCGGGGUCAUCAUGUAUAUGCUACUCAGCGGCUUGUCUCCUUUCCUCGGGGAUGACGAUAACGAGACGCUAAACAACAUCCUGGCCUGUCAGUGGAACUUUGAGGAAGAAGAGUUCACAGAUGUUUCUGAAGAGGCCAAAGACUUCAUCACACGCUUGCUCGUGAAGAGCAAAAGCUGGAGAAUGAGCGCCACAGAAGCUCUCAGGCACGCCUGGCUGGCAGACCAAAGUCUGCACUACAAGUUACAUCUGAAGAAAAGCAAGUGUGGUUCCACACGACCGCCCUCUCCAACGUGCUAAACGGGAAGGGCACCAAGCGCGCCUUCCUUUUCAACAAUGCGGGGCCCCGGCGCCCCUCACCGGACCAAUGCCGCUCUCUCUACCUGGACGGCGACUCACCACCGAGCGGGCUUGCUCGGUGCAGCUGCGCUUUGCUUUCCUCUGGAGUCGACAAAUGGGGCAGUCUUAUCUUCGGGGAUACAAAUUGCAGACUGUUUCGUAGAAUGUCACAGCCAAAAUCUGGAGUAGGUUGCCCCGCCUCACCUCACCUUCCAUGAAGGCUUCCAAAUACUACACAAGGCUACCUAUGAAUGUUUCAUGUUUCUGACCAGUGUUGAUUUUGAUGUUCAUUUAUUGCCUGGAUUGCCACCAGAUUGUACUUGAAGUGCACAAUUUCUGUAAUUUGUGCACAUUUAGUGAGUAUUUGAUCAAAUGUUGAGCCAACAGAGUUUGCAGCCCACCCACCCGCCUUCAUCUGCGCACGAUCAUCACCGUCUGCCUGCGAUCAAUAAGAAGUCAGAAGAAGAAGAACGUUUGGCUCACGCUGAGGAUAUUUCUUUUUGGGAUGGACGUCCCAGCUCCUUGCUCGUUUGAUGUCUCUUUCUGUUGUUACUGUUAUUGGGUGGCCUUGUUCAAAUUCUCUACCGCAUCUUUGUGUGAUGGACUGUUUAUCACAAUUGUUCCAUUUUGAACUGAAAAGCUCUGAAAGUUGGAAUAAUGUUUGGUUAUCUCAUGUUAUAAUUUGUUUUCUGAGUUAAUGAAUAUAGACUAAAUAAAGCACAAAUAAAGUACACUGAUGGUG